GGCAAUUCAAUUCUUGUCAUAAGUAUCUCUGUAAGGGCAGUUCUUCACACUUGACAGACUAGCAUGAAAUGGAGAACUGAAAGCUAUGGGUAGUGAGUUCAGUUAUUUUCCCAAUCUAUGCAAACUACCAUUUGCGGCACUCUUUGGACAAAAAGUCUUCAAGCUCAGAUGACAUUAUAAAAUGAAUGUCAACCCCACAGAAGUAAAAUCUGUUCUGAAGAGUUUGCUAUAUAUCUAUAUGCAAGACAGGGAAAGGAAACUGAAUUAUACAAAUCCAUCUCUUGUACAGCAGGAAGAAAUCUCAGCUUCUCUAUACAUCCUGAUUAUUAUUGGGUUUUUUGGCUUUCUCCUUUUCUCUAUGAUGCUCAGCAAUAUUGUUCUCAGGCAGCGGGAAAACUACAUAGACCAUCUCUUUCAAAAUAAAUUUCCAGGAAACAGGAGGAUAACUUCCUGCAACAGCAUAAUGAUUAAUGCUGGAAAGGGUGUUACAACAGAAGCUAACAUAGAUUACCAGUGCCAAAAGACUGACAGUUGCCCAAUGGCAGAGAUUCCAAGCAUGGAAUCAGUGCAGAAAAAUGUAUGAAGGUGCAGUGUCAUGACCUAUUUUUAACUGUGGAUUAUUUUGUUGCUGUCUAAAGCAUUAGAUCUGAUUGCACUAACUUGGUCCAUUCCUGGCAAGCCUCAUUUGGAGCAACCUUCCUAUCUACAGUGCAAGAAAAAAAACUUGUUUAUUUCUAAACUGCAUUAUAGUUUUCCUAUUCUAAGCUCCAUUACGUUUCCACUAAUAAUUUGGUAAUCGAGUUUAAACAUGUAUGAUUUCUUUAUAUUCAUGUUCAUCUGCAGUUUUAUGAUGUGUCCUACAUGGAAUAAGUAAGCCAUCUUCCUUGUUUCUUAAUUGUGUGUUUUGUGAAAACUUUUGUUCUUGUAACUGUGUUAUGUUGUGGAGACCUCUUCACAAUCUAAGAGAAAAUACAUAAAAGCUGAAAGAGUCGAAUCAAACAAACGU